GGAAUCUUGCGCAAUGGGCGAAAGCCUGACGCAGCAACGCCGCGUGCGGGAAGAAGGCUUUCGGGCUGUAAACCGCUUUCAGCAGGAACGAAAAUGACGGUACCUGCAGAAGAAGGAGCGGCCAACUAUGUGCCAGCAGCCGCGGUGAUACAUAGGCUUCAAGCGUUGUCCGGAUUUAUUGGGCGUAAAGAGUUCGUAGGCGGUCAAGUAAGUCGGGUGUGAAAAUUCUGGGCUUAACCCAGAGACGCCACCCGAUACUGCUUAACUUGAGUUCGAUAGGGGAGUGGGGAAUUCCUAGUGUAGCGGUGAAAUGCGUAGAUAUUAGGAGGAACACCGGUGGCGAAGGCGCCACUCUGGAUCGAUACUGACGCUGAGGAACGAAAGCAUGGGUAGCAAACAGGAUUAGAUACCCUGGUAGUCCAUGCCGUAAACGGUGGGCACUAGGUGUGGGAUUCUAUUAACGAAUUCCGCGCCGUCGCUAACGCAUUAAGUGCCCCGCCUGGGGAGUACGGUCGCAAGACUAAAACUCAAAUGAAUUGACGG
rnacentral:rRNA from 1 species